UGUAAGGACAGUAUUGUCAGAGGCUGAAAAGGGCAUACAGAUUGUUGAAACACUGAAACAUACCAAAACAAAAAGUUUCAGUGUAUCGAACAUGUUGAAGUUGGUGCUACUUCUAUGUGCAAUAAGGGUAGCAGAAACUGGCGCAGCAAUAUGCGGAAGUAGCAAAUAUGAUUCACGUUUUCAAACCUGUUGCCAGGGAGUGUUGAAUUCGUUUAGUGGGCCGCACAUGUUAUGCUGUAAAAGUAUAGCAUAUGACAGUCGUUUUAGCACUUGUUGCCAGGGAGUGUUGAAUUCGUUUAAAGUGCUGCACACAUCAUGCUGCAAAAGUACGGCAUAUGACAGUCGUUAUAGCACUUGUUGUCAGGGAGUGUUGAAUUCGUUUAGUGGGCCGCACAUAUCAUGCUGUAACAGUAUAGCAUAUGACAUUCGUUUUAGCACUUGUAGCCAGGGAGUGUUGAAAAGGCAAUAAUU